GGAUUAGUGGCGAACGGGUGAGUAACACGUGGGCAAUCUGCCCUGUACUUUGGGAUAAGCCUGGGAAACUGGGUCUAAUACCGGAUAUGACUAUCUUCCGCAUGGUUGGUGGUGGAAAGCUCCGGCGGUACAGGAUGAGCCCGCGGCCUAUCAGCUUGUUGGUGGGGUAAUGGCCUACCAAGGCGACGACGGGUAGCCGGCCUGAGAGGGUGACCGGCCACACUGGGACUGAGACACGGCCCAGACUCCUACGGGAGGCAGCAGUGGGGAAUAUUGCACAAUGGGCGAAAGCCUGAUGCAGCGACGCCGCGUGAGGGAUGACGGCCUUCGGGUUGUAAACCUCUUUCGCCAGGGACGAAGUGGCCAGGUUUUCUUGGUUGUGACGGUACCUGGAUAAGAAGCACCGGCUAACUACGUGCCAGCAGCCGCGGUAAUACGUAGGGUGCAAGCGUUGUCCGGAAUUAUUGGGCGUAAAGAGCUCGUAGGCGGUUUGUCACGUCGUUCGUGAAAACUCCACGCUUAACGUGGAGCGUGCGGGCGAUACGGGCAGACUUGAGUUCGGUAGGGGAGACUGGAAUUCCUGGUGUAGCGGUGAAAUGCGCAGAUAUCAGGAGGAACACCGGUGGCGAAGGCGGGUCUCUGGGCCGAUACUGACGCUGAGGAGCGAAAGCGUGGGGAGCGAACAGGAUUAGAUACCCUGGUAGUCCACGCUGUAAACGUUGGGCGCUAGGUGUGGGCGACAUCCACGUUG
rnacentral:rRNA from 1 species